rnacentral:rRNA from 1 species
UACGUAGGGGGCAAGCGUUGUCCGGAAUCAUUGGGCGUAAAGAGCGCGUAGGCGGCCCGAUAAGUCCGCUGUGAAAGUCAAGGGCUCAACCCUUGAAUGCCGGUGGAUACUGUCGGGCUAGAGUCCGGAAGAGGCGAGUGGAAUUCCUGGUGUAGCGGUGAAAUGCGCAGAUAUCGGGAGGAACACCAAUGGCGAAGGCAGCUCGCUGGGACGGUACUGACGCUGAGACGCGAAAGCGUGGGGAGCAAACAGGG